rnacentral:rRNA from 1 species
UAGGGAAUCUUCCGCAAUGGGCGAAAGCCUGACGGAGCAACGCCGCGUGAGUGAUGAAGGUCUUCGGAUCGUAAAACUCUGUUAUUAGGGAAGAACAAAUGUGUAAGUAACUAUGCACGUCUUGACGGUACCUAAUCAGAAAGCCACGGCUAACUACGUGCCAGCAGCCGCGGUAAUGCGUAGGUGGCAAGCGUUAUCCGGAAUUAUUGGGCGUAAAGCGCGCGUAGGCGGUUUUUUAAGUCUGAUGUGAAAGCCCACGGCUCAACCGUGGAGGGUCAUUGGAAACUGGAAAACUUGAGUGCAGAAGAGGAAAGUGGAAUUCCAUGUGUAGCGGUGAAAUGCGCAGAGAUAUGGAGGAACACCAGUGGCGAAGGCGACUUUCUGGUCUGUAACUGACGCUGAUGUGCGAAAGCGUGGGGAUCAAACAGG